ACUUGUAGAUUUGUUGGCGAAUACUAAGCUUGUCAAAGAAUGAAACUAUUCCCUGGCAAACAAAUUUCAGGGGGAUAAUACGACAACUCUUUUCUUUUCAGCUAUACCUGUCGGAACACCAUAGCAAACGGGAGAAGCUCCGAUCAAGAAAGGUAGAUUACAAGCUUUGCGAGCUUGCCCCAUGAAUGAACCAAUCUUGGGUCUGCGGUUACAAGUACUACACACACUCACACAACUAUCAGGAGAACCAGCUAAGAGAUAGCAGAGUGGGGUACCAUGGGGAGCAUAACAUCCGCUCAUAGACAAAGAUCCACUACAGCAACCCAUGAGUAGAGUAGCAGCACAUCUAUUGAGCUUCUUAAUCUCGUGCUCAUUAACAUAUUGGGAUCCUGAAGUUCAACAGAUCACCACUGGGAUUCAACACAUAAAAGGAAUCCAAGGGAUCUAUAACUGGGAAAGCUUCACCCUGCUCAGGCAGCUGAUCCUGAUAGUGAUGACAUCUAGCAAGUGUGGUACAGAUACUGCCAACAGAAGGCAUGCGAUAGACUUCUUCAUUUCUUAGUAUUGGUAGACUCUCCCAAGGAAGCAUCUGCAUGGAGUUUUUGAUCAAUUACAAGAUCUACAAAUUGCCUUUCCUUUCAUCCAUUUAUUCCAAAAAAUAUAUGUCAAUGAACAUGGUAUGAUUUGUCACCGACUGCACAAGUCACUCAAGUAACUGAUUGAGCUGUAUCCAGCUAGGGUAGUUGAAGAACAAACAAGCUUAUGUUAUUUUGUUAAUACUUGCAGUUAAUGUCAA